AUUGAACGCUGGCGGCAUGCCUUACACAUGCAAGUCGAACGGCAGCACGGGUGCUUGCACCUGGUGGCGAGUGGCGAACGGGUGAGUAAUAUAUCGGAACGUACCUUAUUGUGGGGGAUAACGCAGCGAAAGCUGUGCUAAUACCGCAUAAUCCCUAAGGGGGAAAGCGGGGGACCGUAAGGCCUCGCGCAAUUAGAGCGGCCGAUACCUGAUUAGCUAGUUGGUGAGGUAAAGGCUCACCAAGGCAACGAUCAGUAGCUGGUCUGAGAGGACGAUCAGCCACACUGGGACUGAGACACGGCCCAGACUCCUCCGGGAGGCAGCAGUGGGGAAUUUUGGACAAUGGGGGCAACCCUGAUCCAGCAAUGCCGCGUGAGUGAAGAAGGCCUUCGGGUUGUAAAGCUCUUUUGUCAGGGAAGAAACAGCAGCUCUAACACGGUAUGCGAAUGACGGUACCUGAAGAAUAAGCACCGGCUAACUACGUGCCAGCCGCCGCGGUAA
rnacentral:rRNA from 1 species